rnacentral:rRNA from 1 species
GACGGAGGGUGCUAGCGUUGUUCGGAAUCACUGGGCGUAAAGGGCGCGUAGGCGGCCUUGCAAGUCGGUUGGUGAAAGCCCGGGGCUCAACCCCGGAGGUGCGGCCGAGACUGCAGGGCUGGAGGCCGGAAGAGGAGGGUGGAAUACCCAGUGUAGAGGUGAAAUUCGUAGAGAUCGGGAGGAACAUCAGUGGCGAAGGCGGCCGCCUGGACCAGCACUGACACUGAGGCACGAAAGCGUGGGGAGCAAACAGG